rnacentral:rRNA from 1 species
CCUACGUGGGGCUGCAGUGGGGAAUAUUGCACAAUGGGGGAAACCCUGAUGCAGCGAAGCCGCGUGAGUGAAGAAGUAUUUCGGUAUGUAAAGCUCUAUCAGCAGGGAAGAAAAUGACGGUACCUGAUUAAGAAGCCACGGCUAACUACGUGCCAGCAGCCGCGGUAAUACGUAGGGGGCCAGCGUUAUCCGGAUUUACUGGGGGUAAAGGGGGCGUAGACGGGAGCACAAGUCUGGAGUGAAAUGCCGGGGCUUAACCCCGGAACUGCUGUGGACACUGUGCAGCUAGAGUGCAGGAGAGGUAAGUGGAAUUCGUAGUGUAGCGGUGAAAUGCUUAGAUAUUAGGAGGAACACCAGUGGCGAAGGCAGCUUACUGGACUGUAACUGACGUUGAGGCUCGAAAGCGUGGGGAGCAAACAGGAUUAGAUACCCGAGUAGUC